CAUAACCAUGGGUUUUUAUCUAUGGCUUAUUCUGCUCAAUGAUUAAAUUAAAUAGCCGCAGUACUUUGACUGUGCAAAGGUAGCAUAAUCAGUUGUCUUCUAAUUGGGGUCUAGUAUGAAGGGAUAAUUGGGGAGCUGCUGUCUCUAUUUGAUUUUUAAAAGUUAUUCAGGAAGUGCAAAUCCUUCUGGUUAUUUAUUAGACGAGAAGACCCUAGAAAUUUGGGUUAUUAUUUUGUUGGGGCGACAGGGUAUCAAAUAAACAUACCUUAUUGAUUGAAAUAUGUAUGUAGGAAGAUAAAAUUACUCUAGGGAUAACAGCAUAAUUUCUAAAAGUUUGUGACCUCGAUGUUGGACUAGGAGAGCUUAAAUUAGAAGUCUAAAGUUUUUGUUCUGUUCGAACAUUUAUUCCUACG
rnacentral:rRNA from 1 species